rnacentral:rRNA from 1 species
AAAAUACGGGAGGCAGCAGUGGGGAAUUUUGGACAAUGGGCGCAAGCCUGAUCCAGCCAUUCCGCGUGCAGGAUGAAGGCCCUCGGGUUGUAAACUGCUUUUGUACAGAACGAAAAAGGCCCGGCUAAUAUCCGGGUCUCAUGACGGUACUGUAAGAAUAAGCACCGGCUAACUACGUGCCAGCAGCCGCGGUAAUUUUU